GGGCGGUUAGCUCAGCGGGAGAGCACUCGCCUCACACGCGAGGGGGCGGCAGUUCGAUCCUGCCACCGCCCA
rnacentral:tRNA from 1 species